rnacentral:rRNA from 1 species
CGGACCGGCGGCACGGGUGAGUAACGCGUAUGUAAUCUACCUGUAACAGAGGGAUAACCCGGAGAAAUCCGGACUAAUACCUCAUAGCACAUAUUAUUCGCAUGAAUUUAUGUUAAAGAGACUCGGUUACAGAUGAACAUGCGUUCCAUUAGCUAGUUGGCGGGGUUACGGCCCACCAAGGCAACGAUGGAUAGGGGUUCUGAGAGGAAGGUCCCCCACACUGGUACUGAGACACGGACCAG